rnacentral:rRNA from 1 species
UACGGAGGGGGCGAGCGCUGUCCGAAGUUACUGGGCGUAAAGCGCGCGUAGGCGGGGAAUUAAGUGAGAGGUGAAAGGCUGAGGCUUAACCUCAUGCAGUGCCUCUCAUACUGGUUCUCUUGAGGGCGGUAGGGAGAAGUGGAAUGGCUGGUGUAGCGGUGAAAUGCGUAGAUAUCAGUCGGAACACCGGUGGCGAAGGCGGCUUGCCAGAACGCGCUCGACGGUGAGGGAUGAAAGCUGGGGGAGCAAACCGG